AGAGUUUGAUCCUGGCUCAGAGCGAACGCUGGCGGCAGGCCUAACACAUGCAAGUCGAACGGACCCUUCGGGGUUAGUGGCGGACGGGUGAGUAACACGUGGGAACGUGCCUUUAGGUUCGGAAUAGCUCCUGGAAACGGGUGGUAAUGCCGAAUGUGCCCUUCGGGGGAAAGAUUUAUCGCCUUUAGAGCGGCCCGCGUCUGAUUAGCUAGUUGGUGGGGUAAUGGCCCACCAAGGCUACGAUCAGUAGCUGGUCUGAGAGGAUGACCAGCCACAUUGGGACUGAGACACGGCCCAAACUCCUACGGGAGGCAGCAGUGGGGAAUCUUGCGCAAUGGGCGAAAGCCUGACGCAGCCAUGCCGCGUGUAUGAUGAAGGUCUUAGGAUUGUAAAAUACUUUCACCGGUGAAGAUAAUGACUGUAGCCGGAGAAGAAGCCCCGGCUAACUUCGUGCCAGCAGCCGCGGUAAUACGAAGGGGGCUAGCGUUGCUCGGAAUUACUGGGCGUAAAGGGAGCGUAGGCGGACAUUUAAGUCAGAGGUGAAAUCCCGGAGCUUAACUUCGGAACUGCCUUUGAUACUGGGUGUCUUGAGUGUGAGAGAGGUAUGUGGAACUCCGAGUGUAGAGGUGAAAUUCGUAGAUAUUCGGAGGAACACCAGUGGCGAAGGCGGCUCACUGGCUCGAUACUGACGCUGAGGUGCGAAAGCGUGGGGAGCAAACAGGAUUAGAU
rnacentral:rRNA from 1 species